rnacentral:rRNA from 1 species
GGCCUACCAUGGUGGUAACGGGUAACGGGGUGUUAGGGCACGACACCGGAGAGGGAGCCUGAGAAACGGCUACCACAUCCAAGGAUGGCAGCAGGCGCGCAAAUUACCCAAUCCCGACACGGGGAGGUAGUGACAAUAAAUAACAAUACGGGGUUCUUAAGGAUCUCGUAAUUGGAAUGAGUACAAUUUAAAUCUCUUAACGAGGAACAAUUGGAGGGCAAGUCUGGUGCCAGCAGCCGCGGUAAUUCCAGCUCCAAUAGCGUAUAUUAAAGUUGUUGCAGUUAAAAAGCUCGUAGUUGAAUUUCGGGAUUAGUACGUCGGUCGUGCCUUAGGUACCUACUGGUGUUACUGGUUCCUACCUUCUGACGAACCAUCAUGUCAUUAAUUUGGUGUGGUGGGGAGUCGGGACUGUUACUUUGAAAAAAUUAGAGUGUUUAAAGCAGGCUAACGCUUGAAUACAUUAGCAUGGAAUAAUGAAAUAGGACGUUCGGUCUUAUUUUGUUGGUUUCUAAGAUUGACGUAAUGAUUAAUAGGGAUAGUUGGGGGCAUUAGUAUUCAAUUGUCAGAGGUGAAAUUCUUGGAUUUAUUGAAGACUAACUACUGCGAAAGCAUUUGCCAAGGAUGUUUUCAUUAAUCAAGAACGAAAGUUAGGGGAUCGAAGACGAUCAGAUACCGUCGUAGUCUUAACCAUAAACUAUGCCGACUAGGGAUCGGAUGAUGUUAUUUUUAAUGACUCAUUCGGCGCCUUACG